GCUGAGCGGCUAUGGAAGGAAGACAUGGGGUACCGAGAUAGCUAAAAAAUUCUAUGGAAAUGCAUGAGCAGCGCUGCUAGACCAGGGAGGGUGAGUAACCUAAACCACAUGGACCCACACAGAGGCAAUGAGAACAGAUGAACACGGACAGAGAACACAAAGCUAAGAAGGCAAACAAGCAUCGGCUGGAUCAGCCUAUGGACUGCCGCCCACGCUGCGCCAUGGCCGAGCUCAGUGACAAGUGACAAGUGGAGACAACCAAGAAACGGGCUGCUGGCCAGAACAAGCAGCAUCCCAUCACUAAAAACACAGCCAAGGUAGACCGAGAGACAGAGUUGCUGCAUCACGGCAGAGUGACCCUGGAGGUGGGCAAAGUGAUCCUAUGGGGCCCUGGUAGAGCAAAGGCCUGACGCAGAAGGACCUGGCCACAAAAAUCAAUAAAAAGCUGCAAGUCAUCUCAGCCUAUGAAAGUGUACAGGCCAUUCUGAAUAACCCAAAUUUGGGCAAAACUGAAAGAACCAUCAGCCUCAAGUUCCGGAGGAAGGACAUCAGGAAAUCUAUCGAAGGGGGCCGAAGGCAAAAUGAACACAAAGCCUCGAAACCAAUGGUUCUAGCUGAGCUCUUCUGGCUGCUCCCCCAGGACUACCAGCACUGCUGUGGGUCUCCUCCCAUGGUCAAAUGGAACAUAGGGUCAGGCUUGUGUGCCCCCCCAACCCACAGCUGCUGCUAAACAAAGCAAAACCUUGAAAAGUGAAAAGGAGGGAGAGAAGGAGGAAGGAGAAGGAGGAAAAGAGGGAGGAGGAAGAGGAAGAGGAGGAGGAGGAGGAGGAGGAGGAGGAAGAGGAGGAGGAGGAGGAAGAGGAGGAGGACAAUGACUACAAUGAUGAUGACUACGAAGAUGAAAACAGGGACCACUGCAAACUGAGGCUGCCAGCCAUGAGACAGGUUCUGGGGAUCAAACUCAGUCAUCAGUCUUGAGCAACAAGCACCUUUACCUGCUGAGCCACACAGUCCGGCCAUGUUUAUCGGCUUUAGCCCUGAGAGAAAUGCAAAUGCGUACACUGAAGUUGUCUCCCGAUUGCCUCUCCUCCCAGUCAGAAUGCUCCUCAUCAGAGAAACAAAAAAUAGCAGCUGUCAGCAAAGGGCACAGUUGGGACAAGGUCAGCAGAAAUUAUCAUAUAAUGGGACCAACUCAACCUGGUGAAAGCUAACCAAAAAGACUGAGAACAAAGCAGCCCCAGGACUGAUGACCACAAUCCCUCAUGGUGGGGAGAGCUGGGUGCUCCAGAGCUGCAGCCACUGCUCCCCCAAGGCCCUGGCUCCAGGCCAUUACCAGCUCUGCCAAGCAUGCUACUGGCUUUGGAUGCUCACUCUCUGUACAGCGAGGCUACAGGAAAAGCCUCAGUGAUCAGACUUGCCCUCCAACAGCUAUGACGGGCUGCUCAGUCCUCAAGAAUUCCCAAUAGGCUGAGCAAUCGUGCUCAGAGGGAGAGAUACGAUUGCAGAAGGGAAGAGGGGUCUGCCACGUGACCAGAGAAGAAGGGAAGAGAGAUGUCAUAGGACUAGAGAUAGAGCCAAAGUGCGGGUGAGUGGAGACCAUGAAGUGGGUGGGGAGAGGCAAUCAAACAAUGGAAAACACGUGACUUCUGUGCUGUGUGGUGCCCCUGUGGACACAGUAGCCAAGAAAGGGCGAGAUCAUUUUUCUUUUAAAUGCUGGCUCCUCCAUGCUCUGCACAACAUGCACCACACUAUGGAACUUUUUCCAAGUCAAGAAAUUGUUCUUUAAUCAUACUUUGUGUCUUGUUUUGCUUUUUCUUGGUGCUAGGGAUCAAACGCAGGCCCUCACAUAUUCUAGUCCCAAACAUGUUUGGAGUUAUAACCCCCAACCUAGGCACCAAUAUGUGCAAGUAUUAACAUUUACACCUAAACAGUUACAAAUGUUUCACUCUUCUUAGGGGUGAAAAACACUUGAUCAUCUCCCAGAAGUCAUUUCCAAGCAUCCUGUAUCCAUGUUUCUUUGAAGAAAAUAGAAAACUUUUGCCGAGAAGUUAAUAGAGCAGAGCCUGAGCCUGCUGCUCUUUAAAGGGUCCUUAAAGGGCAAACUUGCUGAGGGUGUAGGAACAUAAGAACCCUUCCUUCUUCACUGUUAGUAGGAAUGCUAGCCAGUGCAGCCACUGUGGAAAUCAGUAUGGAGGCUCCCCCACAAAAACACCCCCCAAAAAACCCAACAAAAACAAACAAACAAACAAAAACAGGGCUGGAGAAAAGGCUCAGCAGUUAAGAACACUGGUUGCUCUCCCAAAGGGCCAGAGUUCAACCUGAAGAAUCUACGUGGUGUUUCACAAGCAUUUGUAACUUCCAGCCAAUCCAAAACUCUUCUGGCCUCUGUGCACACAAGGAGUGCACAUGGUGCACAGACAGAACACUCAUACACAUAAAAUAAAAGUUGUUUUAAAUACUACACAUAGAACUACCAUACUCUAGCUAUGCCUCCUGGGCUUAUACCCUAAGGACUCUCUAUCCUGCCACAGAGACGCUUUCAGAUCCUUACAGCUCUACGCACAACAGAUAGAAAAUGAAAUCUAGAGAAUACAUUAAGUGAGGAGACUCAGGUACAGGAGACACUGUGUGUUCUCUUUCACAUAUGGAUUCUAGCUUCUCACUUUUCUAUGUUUAUUGGGAGUGAGUGGAGUGUGGGUGAAGGCCAGGAAAUACUAAAGAGGCCUGGGAGGAAGAGGGAGAAGAGGUGACGGGGUAAAGGAAGUCAAGGGAGAUAAGGAAACUGCAGGGUUUAAACCAAGAGAGGGGUGCAGGGAGGCUUGACCAAACUCAAAUGUAAAAAAUACCACAAGGAAAUGUGUUAUACUGUGUGCAAAUUAAAAAGUAAACAAAAGGCA